AGGAGAGAAAAGAGGGUGGGGAGGGGAUCGCGGGCGGCGGGGGGAGGGGAGCGCGCCACCCCAACAGACAAUGAGCGCCGCGCAGCCUGCGGGUGUGGGCCGAGCUGCGAGUACCUUCCACGGAGGGGGGCCAGUCCAUCAAGGGGGCGCCGAGUCCUGGGACACCCGGGGAACCGCCGAGGUGGCGGAACGCUUGACCUGGCUGGCGACCUACACCCACCCGGCCCAGCACUUUCCUCCGCCCCCAGUUACACACGCACUCACGGGGGCGGGGGGGGUGGGGGUGGCACGAGAGGAGUUGGCAGUGCACAGCCCAGCGCCACCAUCGAGGCGGGAGGGACGCUCCAGCUUUCGGGUCAGUGUGCCUCCAGAAUAAGGGGGAAAGUGCUUUGCUCCUCGGGCCUUCCCCGCUCCUCAGUCCAUAUUAAAAGAGCUUUUAAUGCUCUGCCUUUGUAUGUGAACUACCUUAAACUUGCACCGACCUCUAAUCGAGCCCCUGGGUCGUGGUGACCGUCGGGGAUCGAGGUUCCAAAGAUACGGGAAAGAAGGAACUCUAGUGCCCAGCUCCCUAUAUCUGCCCUGCUUUUUAAGAACAGACUAAAUUCCUAGGAGGUUUCGGGACGUUUACGUCGACACAUCAGCUAACCUUGGGGAACUUUUAAUUCGGGGUAGUGGUAUACGUAAAGUCUAGUCCCCAAAGGUGCGCGUAAUGAAAAGGGCUUACACCCCAGUCGCGUUCCAAGGUGCUUUCCAAGUUUUCGUGUCCCGUUUGCUCUGAGCUUAUCCUGGAGAAAACUUCAGACGCGACCCCAGAAGGCCGCGGAGAGAGAAUUUUAACUAGGGCAGCAGGAGUUGCUUUGUGGGGAUGGAUUUUACAUUUUUCUCCCAGAUUUUAAGCUGUGAACAGCCUCCAAGCCUGAGCCCCGAGGAGACCUAGCUCCGAAAUUGGUUCCUGUUGUAUUUCUUUAUAUUAGCAAGUAUGAAGGUGUCUGUGUGAAUUUCCUUGGACAACAGCUAAAGCUCUAGGGACCUGCUUUUCCCGCAGCUUCGCAGCGGUUGUGAGAGGGUGCACUGGCCUUGGGACCGCUGGGACAGAGGUGAGCAGCGGGGCAAACGCUGACUAUAGCCUGUCGUUUCUAAGGGCUCAAGAAGGGACCCGGCAUUUUUUUUUUUUUUAACUUUCCCGAUUUCCAGUCUCUCUAACACUGCCUAAAGCAAGGGUGGGAGGUUGUAAUUUGCUCCUUUGUACGGUAGCAGUUUUUUAGAUUGGUUUACCAACUAAAGGAGAGAAUGGAUAGUAAAAUAUUUUUCUUUUUAGUUAACUAAAAAUUAAAACUUUUUAAAUCCGCAGUGUUUCUUCAGGCGGAAAGGCAAGUAAAGCCUGACCCAUCCAGUUUACCAUUUUCCUAAAGCACUGGAUUUGGCCCCGGGGAAAACUUCCACUCCCCCGGGUUGGGGAGGAGUGGCAUAUUUUCAAAGCCACCCCCUAGGGGUUCCUAGGUCCCGCGCUGUGAGUUUCCUUUGAGUACCCCAGUUGGUUUGGGAAGGCGGGCAUCAUAGGGAACGCGGAGGAAAGAAGUGUACCCUAAACUAGGGAGGAACCCAAGAACUGGAGAAGUCCCCCCAUAGUUCACCAGUAAAUAGGCUCUUAACAGUUCUAUUUUCUUCGUGGUUCUUUUUUCUUUUUCCUUUCCUUUCCUUUUCUUUCUCCUUUUUCUUUUGCCUAUCUCCUUUGGGGGUGGAGGGAUUGCUAAUCUUAAACGAAAUUCUUUCUCUCCCGACUAUUUAGACUCAAGGAGUGGUCCCUCCGGAGUAUGCCUUCCGUCCUCGAGCCCACCUCCUCAUCCUCGGAGAGUUGCUGGCUCUGGGGCGCGACCUGUCCCCAGGGCUGAUUUAUUUGGGGCGCGCCGCCACACUACUAUUCGCGAUUCGAAUCCAGCCAGAAUAGAGCAGCCAAUUGGGCAGGGGGCGGAGGCUUUGUUGCUAAAUGCGAAGGGAUGUUUGGGGACCCAGCCACGCUCUUUUUCCAGAGGAGCUGUGACACGCGGGCGGGGGCCCGCAUAACGACACGCCUUGACCCCUGCAAACUUAAGCUCAUUACGCCGUCCGUUCCCCAAAGCUCCCGGCUGCUCCAGCGACACUUGAGAAUUUGUGACUUACUUGAGUUUUUACAAAGCCACAUCUCUAGGGCCUUUUCGCCUAUACCGGAUUUCUUACCGUCCCUGGGACGCUUUUGCCGAAGGACAGGGGUCACCCUGGUGUCCCCCCACCCCAGCCAUCCUCCGGGCCCAAUCGUCGUGGGGCGGCCUGUUCUCGGACUCAGCCGCUGUCAGUCCAGUGCAGGCGCUUGCGGAAAGUCCUGACGGUGUUUGGGGUGGAGGGCGGCGGGUGGUUUUGUUUUGUUUUAAUUCUUGAAAGCCCAAAAAUAUACGUUAGAAAUAUCAGAUCGUGGCAGGGGUUGGGGGGGCACGAAAACGGCGCAGCCUAGAAAAUUGGGUCUCCCGCCCCCCCCGCUCCCCGUCCCCCGCCCCCUUUUCCCGCCGCCUGUCACUUCGGGUAAGGAACUCGCCGAGCGCGGGCGGUCGGCAUAGCGUCCCGGCGCGCUGCGGCUGCAGGCCGGGCCCGGCCGCCCCCGGCCCCGCAGUCCCGGGCCGCCCCCAGCCAGCGGCCGCCAGCACGGCGCGGAGGUGGGCUCGCGGCGGCGGCGCGCGAGAGGUCAUCGCGGUGGCAUUCCUCCCUGCGCGCUGUUUACGUGAUUUAAUGUAUUUCAUACGCCGCGGCCUGUUAUCUAGGCCACCCAUGACCGACGAAAGAUCUUCCCUCCCGGCUUCUCCCACGGCCGCUUUAAACCAAAUAAAUUUAGCUAUUAAGGGCCAAGAUGUCUGACAA